rnacentral:tRNA from 1 species
AAAUAUGAAGCGAUUUAUUGCAAUUAGUUUCGACCUAAUCUUAGGUAGUUUUACCCUUAUUUU